UUCUUGUUGAUGUGGACCGACAGUCGCUGCCACAGGUGCUGCCCCCGGCUGCUCUUCUCAUUCUGGGCCCAUGUCACGGAUUUCCCGUUGGAGCUGCGAAGAGAAGAGAGGGAAGGGCAGCCCCUGUGCUCCGAAGGCUACUCUAAUGAAGGUGGAGAUAAUGCCUCAACUUCAGAAUCUGCAUCCUUCUUUCUGCCGAAAUGACAGGCUCUGAAUGUCAGGUCAGUGACCUCAUCACUCUCUCUAUUCAUCUGCCCAAAUCUGAGGAAAUUAGAGCAUCUUGCCCCAGCAUGCCAUCAUUAGGCAGUACACAUCAGAGUCUGACAAGCACAAAGGUCUGUGGAAUAUAUAAUGUUUGUGUUAAUAUUAAAUGGAUUUGAAGAAUCUGUGUGGUUCUGUUCCUCC
rnacentral:lncRNA from 1 species